AUUGAACGCUGGCGGCAUGCCUUACACAUGCAAGUCGAACGGCAGCACGGGGGCAACCCUGGUGGCGAGUGGCGAACGGGUGAGUAAUACAUCGGAACGUGCCCAGUAGUGGGGGAUAGCCCGGCGAAAGCCGGAUUAAUACCGCAUACGACCUACGGGUGAAAGCGGGGGAUCGCAAGACCUCGUGCUACCGGAGCGGCCGAUGUCAGAUUAGGUUGUUGGUGGGGUAAAAGCCUACCAAGCCGACGAUCUGUAGCUGGUCUGAGAGGACGACCAGCCACACUGGGACUGAGACACGGCCCAGACUCCUACGGGAGGCAGCAGGUGGGGUAAUUUUGGACAAUGGGCGCAAGCCUGAUCCAGCCAUGCCGCGUGCGGGAAGAAGGCC
rnacentral:rRNA from 1 species